AUGGCGCCCCCGGAGUACGUGCAGAUCGUCGGACAGGCGCAGCCGGCGUGCGUGACGGCGCCGCUCCCGGUGGUCUGGCUGGAGGGGGACGUCCUCGCCGAGUACGUGCAGUUCCUCAAAGAGGCCGAGGAGGCCGCGGCCGCGCAGCUUCCCGGCGUCAAGUGGCUGGAGGGGGACGUCCUGGCCAACUUCCUGCAGUUUCUCGCAGAGGACGAGCAGGUCGUGCACUACGGUAGCGGCAACAGCAGCAGCGGAAGCAACGGCGGCGACUUCAUGUGUGAGGAGGACCAAGAUGACGAGGAGGAGGAGAUGGAGUAUCUGCUGCGGCACAUCACGAGCCUCCCAGCGUUCAUGGCGCGCGCGGCGGCCGCCGCCUCGGCGCAAGAUUAA
rnacentral:rRNA from 1 species